UAGUAAUUAAUAUAUUUGUACCAUUUCUAUUCUACAUAUAGAACCCCUAAAAGAAUGUAAUAUAUGACACUAAACAGAUCUGCAAAUCUAAUAAAAAUUUGCAUGUGCUUCAAUUCGAGAAACUGAAACUCCAAAAUCAAUGAUUAACAAUUUACGAGGUAUUUAAAUUGAUAUUAUUAUCUCUGCGUAUCUCCCAAACUAUGAUUACAUUUAUAAGGGAUGACGAAUCGAUAAUAUGUACUAAUCGCUUAUUUAUGUACAUAAUUAUGUACACAAAUGAUGAACAUUUCAAAGCAAUACGAAAGUCUGUAAAUAUUUAGACUUAUCUUUACACAGCUGAUUCAAUAAUUUGACCCUUUUAGUCGUUCAGAUAUACUACACAUAAACGUGAUAAAUUUAUAAAUAUAACAAUUUAUAUAAUAUCCACAUAGAUAAAUUGUAUGGAAUAAUUAUAUAUGUAUAUAUAUCUAUCUAAUUAAAUAAAAAAAAAUAUAUCUAUAUAAAUCUAUGUUCCCUGAAGGCAAUCUUCUCGCUCGAUUGACACUUCGUCACUUCCGGUCGCGAAUCAUUCGAUCUACGGUUUACAUAUGCUUACACAUGAAUCACAAAGUCGGCAGUCACUGAAAAAACGUGAGCUCAACGUGACAGAAGUGAUUCACAAAGAUUCUGCUGAAUGGCAACGAACGGUUUUUUAUUCUACGUUGCCAACAGCUGUACGUUGAUCGUUAAUCGUUGUCGUUUUUACUAACUCGUUUAUAAUUUGCCUGGAAGAAUAAUUUUAAACGGAAGAUGUGGCAAUUCUACACACCUACGCCAAUGGGAACGUUUCAUAAGAUCCAGUUAGAGGUAAGCGUGAUGAUCAUCCAGAGCCAGACAAGUCUCUCGUACAAUGUACAUGUACUGCAACGUGGAACAAGCCAACAGUGCUUACAGAGGCCACUCUAAUGGUGCAAGUCGAAUAAAAACCAAACGAGCCGGUAUAUACACGCACGAAUUAACGCUGUAAAGCUCCGUAUAUGUAGUAGGCUCGACGAUCAAGUGAGGUCAGAAAACCGAGCAUAAAGUUUACAUGUUCGAAGGUCUGGUCAAACCAGUUGACGGAAACCUGAGAAGAUAAAGAUCCUCCAGUAAGGGGAGUAUACACCAAGUAUCCCUUAGCUUUAGUCUAGUUUCUAUUGGAAACUGCAUUUGCUAUAUAAAUCAGGGAUUGUAACUGCUAUAAUUAGAUUGCAAUUUUUAAGCAAAUUCAUAUUCUUGAGAACAUAAUUAAAAGAAGUUUAUCUUGGUAGAAAAUUGUUUUAUCCUACCAAAUAUUACAGAAAACAUCAUGCUUUGGAUAUUUUAUGUAUUUUUCGAUGUUACGUAUGCGCAUUCUGUGUUAUUUUGCGCUUUCAAAUUUCUUACGCAUAGAAAUGAUGCUAUCUAACAUACAAAAAUCCACAGUCUAAUUAUAACUCAAGUCAAAGGAGUUAUAGUAUAAGGAUUCAUAUGUUUGUUUCAAUGAUUUUAGUUACGAAAAAAGGGAAAGUGUCCUGUUUGGUCAAUGCAAAGCAUGAUAAGAUAGUCGACUGUUAACUCAUAUAAGAAUCAGGCGCAUGGAUGACAGGCAACCUUUUUCCUCGAGGGGAAGAAGUUGGGAGAGGAAAAGAGUCCAAAUAUUUCAGAAGCAGUUGCAGGCUUCUGUUCGAGGAAGAGUACAAUUUAUGAGUAAUUGAACAUUUAAUGAAUACGCGAUAAAGAAGAGUUUCCGGAGCCCUUCUGCGCAAUUAGGAAUCAUUGAAAAUGAAACGUAGUUAAAUUUACAAAGCCCUGAGGCUGAAGUGAAACCGAAAUAGCCAUCAUCCUUCAACUUUGGCUGCCAAACACAAGAAUUCUUGCAGCGGAAAACAGGCCCGCAUUUUUCAUCGAUUACUCUUUUUAUGUGUAUCAAGUAGAAAAUAACCUGUCGUUUUUAACAUGUGCAGACUCUUUGACGCGUAGGCUGGCUACUCAUGUAUCAAGUACAUGAAAUGCAAUAGAAAUAGUCGGUUGAUGGAAUUUAUCCUCUCACUUAUACUAGUCUCUCGGAUACUGUCGACUUCUCUUUACAUUUACAACUCACCAUUAAAUUACAUUUCAUAGAUACAACUUGUUCAAUUUGUUCACAAUGCAGAACAUAUGAUAAACAAUAUCCUAGCAUUUUGUUUUAUUGUAAUUAUAAAAUUGAAGGGCAUGUGCGUACAAGAUAGUAAAGAUUUUACUAGACGACAGCUUAAUUAAAACUUCAUUAGCUUGCUUCGUUUUUCUUCUUUUCAAUUCUACUACUAUUAAAAUUUUUAUAGAACCAUUUUCCACGCAACAUAACUUCCAUAUGUUUCUAUAUUCAUCAAACGACCAAUUAUAAUCACAAUUACACAGAAACAAUUUUAUAAAUCAAUUUUUUAAACAACGAAGAGGUUCUUUUCAGACUCACUGCUAUUCAGAUUUUUAUAAAACCACUUUCACCAAACCAAAGGCAAGUUCCAUGUAAUUCGUGUAUUCAUUGAAUGUCCAUACACGUUCGAAACACGUCAAGGAUGGGCGCAAUAAACGCUUGCGAACGUAUAUCAUGCACGAACAUAGAUACCACCGGAAGAAUCAAUUCAACGGCUUCUCUACGGCACAUUUAUUUAUGCAGUAAAACAGAACAGGCCGUUUAAGUAUCUUAAUUGAUCGCCGGAACCUGACAUGCACAUCGUGCACCUGUAGAAACGUAGUGCAUACCGAAGUUUCGAUCGAAAGGGCCGAUUGAAAGAAUGCGACGAGCGUUCAUCGAACACCUGAAUGAAUGCUUAUACGUACGCAUGUGUGCACGAUGCAUUGAGCAAGCUCUUACAUUCCAAACUUUUCCAUUGCCAGAUCCUGGAAGCUAUCGUUCUGUAGUAUGCACCGAUAAGUAAUCUACCCAAUAUCUCUGUUAUCUUUUGAAAAAUAGAUUCGAAACUCGGGAAGGCUCGGAAUUGGAAAAUUCGAAAGUUGAAUGCUUGCAGGGACAAUUUGUAAUUUUAAAGUUGAAAAAUUGGAAGACUUAAAAAUGGGAAGAUUCCAAUAUUCGAAAGCUUAAAAGUUGAAAAAUUGGAAAUUGGAAGAUUACAAACUUUGAAAAUUCGGAGAUAUGCACGCCUCAAAACUCGGAAACUGGACAUUUUGGAAUUACGAGAAUCUGAACCCUCCAAAAUUCGAAGUCGGAAAUUUCGAAAAUUGGAAAUCCGACAAUUUUAAAGCCGUAAGAGAUAAAGAAUGAAUAUUUUUUAAGCGCGAAGGAUUCUAAAGAUUUUUCUUUAAUACUAUAACAAAUGAAACUUAUUUCGCAGCAAGUAACGCAAGUUUCAGCAACUUGUAAAUUAUGCUUGAAUUAAACUUGAAUCGGUAUUUGUUUUACGUACAGAAAUAAUCAGUAUAUAUCUGGCAAAGGUAUUCAUACAUGGAACUUAUCCUGGUCACGUAUUCGAUCACUCACGUACACGAUAUCCUUUGUAAAACAGUAAGUUUAACUUUUAUACCUGGUUACAUUUCAAUGUAAUAAAGAUCUUGAAUCUCAUUAUAUUAUUGUAUGUCGAUAUCUUUGCAUAAUCAAUAGAUUUUUCUAAAUAUAGUUUUAAUAUGAUUUAAAUGUUCCAAAUACCGAUGUAUGGAAAUUAUUCGUUAGAAGCUACGAUAAUGUCAUUUUGCUAGAAACAGAUACGAGUCAGACGUGACUCGUCUAUUUGCGUAAUCAAUUAAUUAAUCAGUCAGCCUGAAGCAAGGUCAGGAGAUGAAUUAUUUAAUAAAGAACAUUUUUGCCUAUACGCUGUUCCUCAACAUGAUGGUGGGAAAUUGUUAUGAAAGUUUCGCAUUUUUAUAUGUGAAAGUGCUAAUUUAAGAUUGAUAGGAUAUUGUAUAGAAAUAUUUAUUCGUUUCUGGGCCAACGUUUCACUUUCUUUUAAUUACUUGCUAAGCGGAUACAGAAAUAGUAAUUUAUAUAAGAUUGAAAUAAAUAUGCAAGAUAAAUUGAACGUUGAAAAAUUGAAAAUUUAAAGUCUCCAGAAUUGAAAAGUUAGAAACUUAAUGGCUUCAGAAUUGAUAAAGAUAGAAAUCUUUUUAACAGUAAUAAGUCAGAAUAUUUAGAUUUAGAUUAAGGUAUAUCGUUUAGCAAAUCAGGCACUCUAGAAAUCAGUGUUUCCUUGCUUAAGUAGUCCAUCACUUAAACUGUCUAGAAACGCAAGUCUUUUAAUUACUCCAGCCUGUUAAUACGAUCUUGUAAAUCUUUUUAAGGGAAUCUUGGUAUUAACGAAAUCUGAGAAAACUUUUGCUUCGAGGAACAGCGAGGAACUUACUGACACGAUAUUAUUCAUUGUAUCCGCGGGAACAUAGCUGAAGAUUGUAUAAUUCUCAGCAGUGAAUGGAGAGACUUCGCAAUUUAAGAGAACGUCGUCGCGUCCGCCGACGCGUCCCACGAUCGAACGUACAAAUAAUCCCAUUAAACUAUGAAAACGAGCACGGCCUGUACAGAAACGGGACCCGUAACGAGCCUAACAGUACAGGCAAACUGCGGGCAGAACGCGUGAAAAAGAGGGUUCGACCCUUCUACCAUAAAAGGGAGUUAAUUCGUUUAUAGGGCGGGCAAAAAAAGCGAAAAGAAAGAGAAAAAGGAAUAAAAAUGAAACGAAAGAAGAGUUUCAGGGCCGUAACGACUGGUAUAUACGUGAGUCACAGGAUGUGUAGCGAGCUCCAGAUAAAACGCGUCAGAGUUAUCAUUUGUCUACGCGGGAUGUGCAUCAUCGAGCGUCAUAUAAACGCGGUUGUUUCUUCUAAUGAUCACAGUUUUAAAACAAAAGACAAAACCACAAAUGGAUGAAACGUUUAGUUCUGUCUUCAUCGAAAACUUAAUUGUUUCUGCGAAGUAAUUUGCAUGUUGUCAUCGUGGCUUGAUGAUUAUGGAGUAAAUUUGAUAUACAGAGUACGUUACGCAAUUGAGCCGAGUCAUAUCUUGAGGUUGAUAGAAAAAAAACUGUAGGAAAAAAAGUUGAAUGGUAUGAUAAUCACGUAACGGUGGACCGGAAAGAUGCAAUUACACUCUUUCUUUUUAAUGUUUAAGUUUUUGUUAACCAUGCAAUGAAUUUUUUCAUGCACUAAGUUCGGUGCAAUUAAAAUUCAUUUUCUCGAUUUUGAAUGUCUGUUGAGUACACGUGUACUAGCUCUAACAAUUUAGACUUGAAACUUCUGUUUAUGUUAGAUUAAAUCAAAAUGUAUCUUACAAUAUAUUUUAUGAUUAUUUUAGAACAAAAAGUAAUCAUAUUUCGUGUUUUUGCAAGAAUUUUUGCAAGUUACUGAUUUUAUUAUAUCAGUUGACUAAAUAUCAGUUGCAUAUCAAACUUGUACUUUAACUUAUAACUUGUACUUUACGUAAGAUACAGAGAAAGUGGUGAUUUGUAAAUUAUCAGCAUUUAAUUCAUUUCUUACAAGGAGAGGAAGGCUUUCUACUGCAAACAAAUUAAAUGGUAAAUAAAUAAGUGACUAAAGAAAUAAACACUUACAUUACUGAUUAAGAAGGAGUAAAAUAUCAACGAUAUUUUAUUUUAGGCGUGUGUGUUUGUAUAAUGUUAUCUUCUAACGAGUAACAAAUAAAUGAGAAUUACAUCUAAAAAAAGCAAAAAGAUUGUAUUAUUAUUGUACGUAUGUAUGUGGAAAAAUUAGAAAAAGAUAGAAAGUAGAAAUGAAUAAUUAUGACGUCC